AACGAACGCUGGCGGCAGGCUUAACACAUGCAAGUCGAACGCCCGUAGCAAUACGGGAGUGGCAGACGGGUGAGUAACGCGUGGGAACGUACCCUUUGGUUCGGGAUAACCCAGGGAAACUUGGGCUAAUACCGGAUAAGCCGGAAACGGGAAAGGUUUACUGCCGAAGGAUCGGCCCGCGUCGGAUUAGCUAGUUGGUGGGGUAAAGGCCUACCAAGCCGACGAUCCAUAGCUGGUUUGAGAGGAUGAUCAGCCACACUGGGACUGAGACACGGCCCAGACUCCUACGGGAGGCAG
rnacentral:rRNA from 1 species